GAUGAACGCUGGCGGCGUGCCUAAUACAUGCAAGUCGAGCGAACAGAUAAGGAGCUUGCUCCUUUGAAGUUAGCGGCGGACGGGUGAGUAACACGUGGGUAACCUACCUAUAAGACUGGGAUAACUUCGGGAAACCGGAGCUAAUACCGGAUAACAUUUAGAACCGCAUGGUUCUAAAGUGAAAGAUGGUUUUGCUAUCACUUAUAGAUGGACCCGCGCCGUAUUAGCUAGUUGGUAAGGUAACGGCUUACCAAGGCGACGAUACGUAGCCGAGCUGAGAGGGGGAUCGGCCACACUGGAACUGAGACACGGUCCAGACUCCUACGGGAGGCAGCAGUAGGGAAGCUUCCGCAAUGGGCGAAAGCCUGACGGAGCAACGCCGCGUGAGUGAUGAAGGGUUUCGGCUCGUAAAACUCUGUUAUUAGGGAAGAACAAAUGUGUAAGUAACUGUGCAUAUCUUGACGGUACCUAAUCAGAAAGCCACGGCUAACUACGUGCCAGCCGCCGCAGUAA
rnacentral:rRNA from 1 species